rnacentral:rRNA from 1 species
AGAGUUUGAUCAUGGCUCAGAACGAACGCUGGCGGCGCGUUUUAAGCAUGCAAGUCGAGGGGUAGGGAGUCUUCGGAUUCCUGAGACCGGCGAACGGGUGAGUAACACGUAGAUAAUCUGUCUCUGGGUGGGGGAUAGCCUAUGGAAACAUGGGGUAAUACCGCAUAAGCUCUUUCUGUCAUAAGGCGGAUAGAGGAAAGGCGCUUAGGCGCCGUCCGGAGAGGAGUCUGCGGUCCAUUAGUUAGUUGGUGGGGUAAAGGCCUACCAAGACGUCGAUGGAUAGCCGGCCUGAGAGGGUGGACGGCCACACUGGGACUGAGACACGGCCCAGACUCCUACGGGAGGCAGCAGCUAAGAAUCUUCCGCAAUGGGCGAAAGCCUGACGGAGCGACGCCGCGUGAACGAAGAAGGCCGAAAGGUUGUAAAGUUCUUUUCUUGGAGAGGAAUAAGCAUUACAGGAAAUGGUAGUGUGAUGACGUUAACCGAGGAAAAAGCCCCGGCUAAUUACGUGCCAGCAGCCGCGGUAACACGUAAGGGGCGAGCGUUGUUCGGAAUUAUUGGGCGUAAAGGGCGCGUAGGCGGCAUAACAAGUCAGAUGUGAAAUAUCCCAGCUUAACUGGGGGAGCGCGUUUGAAACUGUUGUGCUGGAGUCUAGGAGGGGAAGCUGGAAUUCCUGGUGUAGGGUGAAAUCUGUAGAUAUCAGGAAGAACACCGGUGGCGAACGCGAGCUUCUGGCCAUAGACUGACGCUGAGCGCGAAAGCGUGGGAGCGAACAGGAUUAGAUACUCUGUAGUCCACGCCGUAAACGAUGUGCACUGGUUGUUGGCCCGUUGGAGUCAGUGCCCAA